ensembl:lncRNA
GUUUUUAGUUGAUCUUAAUGUAUUGAUGGGAGUUUCCUUAUGGAGCACACACUACAGGGAACACUAUUAUAAACAAAAUUCAUGCAUAUUUGUUUCCAACUAGCUGCUUAAAUAAGUUUAUUUCAUGUAAAAAUGUUGAUGAAAAACCUUGAAAAGUACUUAUUUUCAAUGACAAAAGCACAUUUCCUGAAAUCUCUUUCUUGCAACACAUAGCAACACACUGUAAACAUGAACAAGUCUGUCUUGUUGAACAGUAACUCUGAGAUAAACCAAAGCUGUUUGUUUAGUUGCAGAGUGUUUCUUGGGCUCUCUGAACAUCCUUGAUGUGUCCCAACUUAGAAUGCUGUGUAACUGAGAAAAUGCUUGUUUCUUGGCAUGGUAGACUAAGGAUUUGCUUUUUGGUUUCUGCAUUGCUUAAGUAUAUACAAAUAGAAUAUACUUAUUAAAAUUUAUUCUACUCAACUAUGAAUGCUGGAGACAAUGUUGUAUGAUAUGCUGCAGUGCAAGUUAGAAAAACUGAGGGGGAGAGUACUCUACAGGCACACACUAUUGGUUAGGAAGACUCUGGGGGAGGGUACUUUACAGGCACACACUAUUGGUUAGGAAGACUCUGGGGGAGGGUACCCUACAGACACACACUAUUGGUUAGGAAGACUCUGGGGGUGGGUACCCUACAGGCACACACUAUUGGUUAGGAAGACUCUGGGGGAGGGUACCCUACAGGCACACACUAUUGGUUAGGAAGACUCUGGGGGUGGGUACCCUACAGGCACACACUAUUGGUUAGGAAGACUCUGAGGAAAGGGGUAUUGUAUAGCCACAUUGUACUUGCAAUGUACUGACAAGAAUAAUCUUGCAGCUGCCCUACUAGAUUCUUUUUUUAUUAGUAGCACUUUUAUUAUUUAUUUUUAUGUAUGGAUGUUUUGCCUGUAUGCAUGUCUGUGCACCAUGUACCUAUCUGGUGCCCUAGGAGGUCAGAAGGUGGCUUUGGAUCCCUCCAGACUGGAGUUACAGAUAGCUGUCUGUGACUAUGGGGUGCUGGGGAAUAGAACUCAGCUCCUCCAGAAAAGGAACCAGUUCUCUUAACCUCAGCCCUCUCUCCGGCAAUGUCCUAGCAGAUUCUUUAAGGAACAGAGGGAAAGAGGGAACUCAUUUUCUGAGCACUUAAUGUGCUGCAUCUUUUGCAGCACAAGCGGUUCAAGGCUUUUUUCUAUAUCAUGUCUAGUGAUCGUUACUCUUCCUUAAGGUCUCACAUCAAGUGUUGCUUCUUAGAGCCAACCUUCCCAGCCAUGACG